UUUAAGCUUCCUACGGGAGGCUGCAGUGGGGAAUCUUGCGCAAUGGGCGAAAGCCUGACGCAGCCAUGCCGCGUGAAUGAUGAAGGUCUUAGGAUUGUAAAAUUCUUUCACCGGGGACGAUAAUGACGGUACCCGGAGAAGAAGCCCCGGCUAACUUCGUGCCAGCAGCCGCGGUAAUACGAAGGGGGCUAGCGUUGCUCGGAAUUACUGGGCGUAAAGGGAGCGUAGGCGGACAUUUAAGUCAGGGGUGAAAUCCCGGGGCUCAACCUCGGAAUUGCCUUUGAUACUGGGUGUCUUGAGUAUGAGAGAGGUGUGUGGAACUCCGAGUGUAGAGGUGAAAUUCGUAGAUAUUCGGAAGAACACCAGUGGCGAAGGCGACACACUGGCUCAUUACUGACGCUGAGGCUCGGUAACGUGGGGAGCAAACAGGAUUAGAUACCCUUGUAGUCGAAUUCU
rnacentral:rRNA from 1 species